AGAAUCAACGCUGGCGGCGUGCCUAACACAUGCAAGUCGCACGAGAAAGGGACUUCGGUCCUGAGUAAAGUGGCGCACGGGUGAGUAACACGUGAAUAAUCUACCUCCGAGUGGGGAAUAACUGAGAGAAAUCUUAGCUAAUACCGCAUAAUACCCACGGGUCAAAGCAGCAAUGCGCUUGGAGAGGAGUUCGCGGCAGAUUAGUUAGUUGGCGGGGUAAUGGCCCACCAAGACGAUGAUCUGUA
rnacentral:rRNA from 1 species